rnacentral:piRNA from 1 species
UGGGAUUCUUCCUCAGGUAGAUAGCCAAUC